rnacentral:rRNA from 1 species
AUUGAACGCUGGCGGCAUGCCUAACACAUGCAAGUCGAGCGAGCGGCGGACGGGUGAGUAAUGUAUGGGGACUGCCCGAUAGAGGGGGGUAAAUUCUGGAAACCGUUGCUAAUACCCCAUACUAUCGGAUAACCCAUAUAGCAUCAGCUAGUAGGUGAGGUAAUGGCUCACCUGGGCGACGAUCCCUAGCGGGUCUGAGAGGAUGAUCAGCCACACUGGGACUGAGACACGGCCCAGACUCCUACGGAGGCAGCAGUGGGGAAUAUUGCACAAUGGGCGCAAGCCUGAUGCAGCCAUGCCGCGUGUAUGAAGAAGGCCCUAGGGUUGUAAAGUACUUUCAGUCGGGAGGCGUUACCGACAGAAGAAGCACCGGCUAACUCCGUGCCAGCAGCCGCGGUAAUAC